rnacentral:lncRNA from 10 species
UAUUUGUGUGUCUGCACAUCACUGUGUUUAUGCCCAUGCUGUGUGUGUGCCUCUGUUGGUGAGGAUGUGUACACAUCUCUGUGUACAUGUGCAUUUGUGAAAGUCUUGUGCAGGGUGAGAUGUUGACUCCAAGGCAAGCUCUGGGCUUGGUUUUCCCCUCUGCAUGGGGAGCCUCCUGGCUGCUUGGGGUUCCAGUAAAUGCUUCCUUUGAACACAUGGGGUAUCAGGUCAUCCUCCAGUGGCAGCCAAAUCAGACAUUUUCAUGUGGACAAGGCGUCUCCUGCUCUGGGAAUGCUGCUUGGACAACCCUCAGCAAUGAACGAACCAGGACUCCUGCUUGGAGCUGGCCUUAGAACCACCCGCUCUCUCUUCCUUUAGCCAGGCAAUCACUCCGUGAGUCACUUCAAAAACACACAUGGGGUGCCUACCACAGACCACCCUUCAUGCUGGGGCUCUGGAGAGACUGAGACGGGUGUAUUAGUCUGUUCUUAUGCUAUAAGGAUAUAUCUGAGACUGGGUAAUUUAUAAAGGAAAGAGGUUUAAUUGAAUCACAGUUCCGCAGGGCUGGGGAGGCCUCAGGAAACUUACAAUCAUGGCGGAAAGGGAAGCAAACACUUCCUUCACUUGGUGGCAGCAAGGAGAUGUGCAGAGCGAAGCCGGCGAAAGCCCCUUAUAAAGCCAUCAAAUCUCGUGAGAACUCGCUCACUACCACGAGAACAGCAUGGAGGUAACCGCCCCCAUGAUUCAAUUACCUCCCAGGGGGUCCCUCCCAUGACAUGUGGGGAUGAUGCAAACUACAGUUCAAGAUGAGAUUUGGUUGGGAACACAGCCAAACCAUGUCAGACAGGAAAGGCAGGCAUGGGGGAAGGGGCGUCUUUGGGAGAAGCCAUAGUCCAAUGCCACGGAAAGAGGCCACCAGCAGUGAGUGUCCUGAAACAUCACAGGGCUCUGAUGGACGGGAGAACCCAGGUCUGCGGAGGCACAGGUGGGUGGGGCACAUGGGACAGGGCUACCUGGGCAGGCAGAAAAGUUCCUGAGGGCGGAAAAGUUGCAUGAACUUGGGCCUGGAGUCUGUUUAGAGCAGGUAGUGGUGGGUGGUAAGGACUGUCUCCUAUUAGUGAUGCCUACUCACUGUGCAAAAUGAAGAAAAGCAGAUGAACAGAAGGAGUAGAGUAAAACUGAACUCCAAUCCCACCACCAUUCAGAAAUAGAGUUGAGAUGGUGAUAUUUUUUUCUGUGUGUGGGGGGGCGUGCAUUUUUGCGAAUCAAAUUGGGAUCACGCAGCUAUAUUAUUUGGCAACUUGCUUUGAUGUUCAUGCAAUACAAUGUGCCAUGAACAUUUUUCCAUGUUGUAAGCAUAGCUUGGCGGCUCCAAGCAUGAACAGUGAAGUCCUGGGUCAAAAUCGGUCCAACCACUUGGAUCAGGUAGUUACCAUCUUCUCUGAGCCUCACUUCCUGUAUCUGUAUGAGGAGAGAAAAGUGAGGCCUCUAUCAAAGGGCAGGCCAGAGCCCCCUGCAGGACCAGCUCUCCAGCUCAGCCUUGCCUCACCCCACUCCAACCAGCGGCCAUUUUCCUAAGUACCUGGCAGCUUCUCCCUUAGCCUGGAAUGCCCCUGCCCCACUUGCUUGGACGACACUUACUCUUCUUUGAAUAAUCAGAGCAACCUUGAGGAUUAAAUGAAGCAAGGUGAUGUAUAUAGACAGGGUACCUAGCGCAAUGACCGGCACAUCUCAGGAGCUUACUUUUCUACAGUAUCUUUGUUGAUGGCUGCUGAAUGUAUGAUGAAUUUCCCUAUUCCAAUGUAUGAUGAAUUUCCCUCAUUUGCUCAAUAAAUCUCUAUUGCUGGACAUUU